GGGGAUGUAGCUCAUAUGGUAGAGCGCUCGCUUCGCAUGCGAGAGGUACGGGUAUCGAUAACUCGCAUCUCCA
rfam:Ipomoea nil DNA, scaffold: scaffold1267, cultivar: Tokyo-kokei standard.